AUUGAACGCUGGCGGCAGGCCUAACACAUGCAAGUCGAGCGAGCGGCGGACGGGUGAGUAAUGUCUGGGAAACUGCCUGAUGGAGGGGGAUAACUACUGGAAACGGUAGCUAAUACCGCAUACCAUCAGAAGUGCCCAGAUGGGAUGAGCUAGUAGGUGGGGUAAUGGCUCACCUAGGCGACGAUCCAUAGCUGGUAUGAGAGGAUGACCAGCAACACUGGAACUGGGACACGGUCCAGACUCCUAGGGUGGGCAGCGGUGGGGAAUAUUGCAAAAUGGGCGAAGGCCUGAUGCAGCCAGGCCGCGUGGGUGAAGAAGGCCUUCGGGUGGUAAAGCACGUUCAGCGGGGAGGCGUUACCCGCAGAAGAAGCACCGGCUAACUCCGUGCCAGCAGCCGCGGUAAUAC
rnacentral:rRNA from 1 species